rnacentral:rRNA from 1 species
UACGUAGGGUGCGAGCGUUAAUCGGAAUUACUGGGCGUAAAGCGUGCGCAGGCGGUUCGUUAAGUCAGCUGUGAAAGCCCCGGGCUCAACCUGGGAACUGCGGUUGAAACUGGCGAACUAGAAUCUGGCAGAGGGGGGUGGAAUUCCACGUGUAGCAGUGAAAUGCGUAGAGAUGUGGAGGAACACCGAUGGCGAAGGCAGCCCCCUGGGCUAAGAUUGACGCUCAAGCACGAAAGCGUGGGGAGCAAACAGG